AAACAUGUAUGAUAACCAUGCCAGGGUGGUAGAUGUAGCCACGUAGGGGGUCAAAGAAGGGUUACACAGAGGUCAAAAUUUAAAAAUGCUCCAAUCAUGUUGAAAACUAAACCACAUUAUUUGUCUGAUCAUAACUAUUCCAAAAAGGUAUAGUUUGGACAG